GUGGGCGUAGCUCAAUUGGUUAGAGCAUCAGACUGUGGCUCUGAGGGUCGGGGGUUCAAGUCCCCUCGCCCACC
rnacentral:tRNA from 1 species